rnacentral:rRNA from 1 species
UAGCGCCUACGGGAGGCAGCAGUGGGGGAUAUUGCACAAUGGGGGAAACCCUGAUGCAGCAACGCCGCGUGAGUGAUGAAGGUCUUCGGAUUGUAAAACUCUGUUCUUGGUGAAGAUAAUGACGGUAGCCAAGGAGCAAGCUCCGGCUAACUACGUGCCAGCAGCCGCGGUAAUACGUAGGGAGCGAGCGUUGUCCGGAUUUACUGGGUGUAAAGGGUGCGCAGGCGGCUCUGCAAGUCAGGCGUGAAAGCUAGGGGCUCAACCCCUAAACUGCGCUUGAAACUGUGGAGCUUGAGUGAAGUAGG